AACUCACCAGGUCAGGACACGGUAAGGAUUGACGGACUGAAGGCUCUUCUCGAUUCCGUGGAAAGUGGUGCAUGGCCGUUUUGGUUGGUGGAUCGAUCCGUCUGGUUAAUUCCGUUAACGAACGAGACCUCGGCACUUCGAAUAGCGCGGCGGACGUCGCGGCCUCCGGGCCGUCUUCCGCACGAGCUUCUUAGAGGGACCGUCCCCCGCCGGGGAAGGAGGUGCGAGGCAACGACAGGUCUGUGAUGCCCUUAGAUGUUCUGGGCCGCACGCGCAUUACACUGACGCGUCCAACGGGUGACUCCCGACCCGAAGGGGCCGGGGAAUCCGCAAGGCGCGUCGUGAUGGGGAUUGAACGUUGCAAUUGUUGUUCACGAACGAGGAAUUCCUAGUAGGCGCGGGUCAUCAACCCGCGCCGAUUACGUCCCUGCCCUUUGUACACACC
rnacentral:rRNA from 1 species